UUGGCACCCUCCUUGCCCCAAAAUGUCUCUGUCAAACACAAGAAAAGUGAACUUAACCUUCUGAAUAGUUUUUAUCUCCGUUUCUUAUGGUUUGUUGAGUUAGCACUGGAUUGAUACGUUGACAUGAAAAGGGAGGUAUUGGAUACCUAGAAGAGUUCAAAUGUUGUGUUUUUUGUUCAAUCCCAGAAAAACUGUGUGUGAACGGCUUCCUGCUGUUAUCGUGCGGGUUGCAUGGACCAUCAAGGAAAGACAUCGCUUCGCACAGUUUCCAUCAUAUAUUGUAAAAUCUGGCAGAUGAUCACUAACGAGAUACGAAAGUCCCUCAAGAGAUACGAAAGUCCCUCGUUUGGUUUUUACCGGCGAUGUUACGACAGAGAUGGCACAGAUAUGGCACAGAGAUGGCAAGAAUGUCUGGAUAUCCUGCGACACUCAAAGCAGAUGCAUUCCCAACGAUAAAGUCAACGAAAUUCCAAAGGGGGUCCGGUCCGAUCCGGUGGCCAUGUACUGCUUGCCUGUGUAUCGGCUGGGGACAUCUCUGCGCUGCUGAUCCGCCUCCGCUUGGGAUGGUUUCCUGCUGGCUCCGCUGUGAACGGGACUCUCGCUGCUGAGUUGGACCCGCUUUGGACUGGACUCUCGCGACUGUGUUGGAUCCAUUGUGGAUUGAACUUUCACAGUAUCAUGUUAGACCCGCUCGACAUCCAUUGCUUUCCUCCUCUCUAAGGUUCUCAUAAUCAUUAUUGUCACAGACAUCCCACUGGAUCAUUAUUGUCACCGAUGUCCCACUGGGUGUGAGUUUUCCUUGCCCUUAUGUGGGCCUACCGAGGAUGUCGUGGUGGUUUGUGCAGCCCUUUGAGACACUAGUGAUUUAGGGCUAUAUAAGUAAACAUUGAUUGAUUGAUUGAUUGAUUGAUUGAUUGAUCUACAUAACAUAUAAUGUUGGUUCUUUGGUCAGAAAUGUACAUAGAUGUUGUCUUAUUGACCAUCUUCCCUCUCUUCAGAAAAAAGCCGACGUUUUUGUGUUUAAAGAAUUGAAAAAUUAUCAACAGAGUUUACAUAAAUGCAUACUCCAUAUUAACGUAGUUGCCCUAGGGCAGGGGUCCGGAACCUUUUUGGCUGAGAGAGCCAUGAAAGCCAAAUAUUUCCGUAAGAGCCAUAUAAUAUUUUUUUUACACUGAACACAACUAAACGCGUGCAUUUUUAAGUAAAACCAACAUUUCUAGAGUAUAAUAGGUCUCUUAUUCUUUGUAAUAACAUUGUUAUUCUGAAGCUAACUGUGGUGGGGGCGUGGCCUGUGGGCCUGCAGCAAACUUGGGUGUCCCAGGACCGGCCUAGAAAUCAGCAACAGGUGCGUAGAUGGCCCACCUGGGCCUUGUUAUCUAAUCACCUGUCGCUCUGUUAUAAGCAGCAGCCAGGAGGGGAGACGGGGUGGAGGCUGGAGCCAGAGCGCAAGCGAGAGAGAAAAAUACAAUUGCUGGAAAGCAACUGAGAGACUUAUUGAAAAAUAAAACAAUAAUGUAACCCUGAAAAGGCCUCUCCUGUCGGUGCUUGGUGGUCUGAAGAACCCCCAGGAGGGCAAACCCCACACUAACCAAUAAUAAAUAAAUGACUACUUACCAUUAACGCAACUUUGUGAACAUAAAAAAGCAUGAGAAUGUUUUAUAUUUUGAACGUUAUUUUUAACACUGUGAUUACAAGUGGAAUUAUUAAUUACUUAUCGUGUUAAGGAAUGUCAGCUCAGAUUUAUCCGAGAGCCAGAUGCAGUCAUCAAAAGAGCCACAUCUGGCUCUAGAACCAUAGGUUCCCUACCCCUGCCCUAGGGGAAACUGGGUAACACAUGGCACACUGACAAAGCUUAACCCAUUGGAACUAUAACAAACUACAAGGUUAAUACAGUUUCUCUUCUACUUCUUCCCCUCCAUUUUUCUGAUUUCUUUUGUAUUUCAAGUUAUCAUUACAUAUAUGUAUUGAUGCAUUUGAAACAAUUGUAUUGUUGAUAAUAGAGGUCAUUAUUGUUAUCAUUAGUUAUCAAUAGUGCUAUUUCUAUUGGUAUUUGUAUUGCACCAGUUGUUGUGUAAUAAUCACCCACAUCUGUGGUCCUCUCCAAGGUUUCUCAUAGUCAUCCACAUUGACGUCCCACUGAGUUGUGAGUUUUUCCUUGCCCUUUUGUGAGCUCUGAACCGAGAAUGUCAUUGCGGCUUGUGCAGCCUUUUGAGGCACUCUUGAUUUAGGGCUUUAUAAAUAAACAUUGAUU